rnacentral:rRNA from 1 species
AUUGAACGCUGGCGGCAGGCCUAACACAUGCAAGUCGAGCGGAUGAAGGGAGCUUGCUCCUGGAUUCAGCGGCGGACGGGUGAGUAAUGCCUAGGAAUCUGCCUGGUAGUGGGGGAUAACGUCCGGAAACGGGCGCUAAUACCGCAUACGUCCUGAGGGAGAAAGUGGGGGAUCUUCGGACCUCACGCUAUCAGAUGAGCCUAGGUCGGAUUAGCUAGUUGGUGGGGUAAAGGCCUACCAAGGCGACGAUCCGUAACUGGUCUGAGAGGAUGAUCAGUCACACUGGAACUGAGACACGGUCCAGACUCCUACGGGAGGCAGCAGUGGGGAAUAUUGGACAAUGGGCGAAAGCCUGAUCCAGCUAUACCGCGUGUGUGAAGAAGGUCUUCGGAUUGUAAAGCACUUUAAGUUGGGAGGAAGGGCAGUAAGUUAAUACCUUGCUGUUUUGACGUUACCAACAGAAUAAGCACCGGCUAACUUCGUG